GAUGAACGCUGGCGGCGUGCUUAACACAUGCAAGUCGAACGGUGAAGCUCCAGCUUGCUGGAGUGGAUCAGUGGCGAACGGGUGAGUAACACGUGAGCAACCUGCCCCUGACUCUGGGAUAACAGCCGGAAACGGCUGCUAAUACCGGAUAUGCACCAUGAACGCAUGUUCUGUGGUGGGAAAGAUUUUUCGGUUGGGGAUGGGCUCGCGGCCUAUCAGCUUGUUGGUGAGGUAAUGGCUCACCAAGGCGUCGACGGGUAGCCGGCCUGAGAGGGUGACCGGCCACACUGGGACUGAGACACGGCCCAGACUCCUACGGGAGGCAGCAGUGGGGAAUAUUGCACAAUGGGCGAAAGCCUGAUGCAGCAACGCCGCGUGAGGGAUGACGGCCUUCGGGUUGUAAACCUCUUUUAGCAGGGAAGAAGCGAGAGUGACGGUACCUGCAGAAAAAGCGCCGGCUAACUACGU
rnacentral:rRNA from 1 species